ACACGACUACAUUAGAUACCCGGGUAGUCCUAGGCGUAAAUGAUGCGAGUUAAGUGUGGGGGCAUCUACGAGAUGGCCCUGUGCUGUAGGGUAGCCGUUAAACUCGCUGCCUGGGGAGUACGGUCGCAAGGCUGAAACUUAAAGGAAUUGGCGGGGAGCACCACAAGAGGUGGAGGCUGCGGUUCGAAUUGGACUCAACGCCGGAAACUCAUCGGGAGCGACAGCAGUAUGAUUGCCAGGUUGAUGACCUUGCUUGACAAGCUG
rnacentral:rRNA from 1 species